rnacentral:rRNA from 1 species
GUGGGGAAUCUUGCGCAAUGGGCGAAAGCCUGACGCAGCCAUGCCGCGUGGAUGAUGAAGGUCUUAGGAUUGUAAAAUCCUUUCACCGGUGAAGAUAAUGACUGUAGCCGGAGAAGAAGCCCCGGCUAACUUCGUGCCAGCAGCCGCGGUAAUACGAAGGGGGCUAGCGUUGCUCGGAAUUACUGGGCGUAAAGGGAGCGUAGGCGGACAUUUAAGUCAGGGGUGAAAUCCCGAGGCUCAACCUCGGAACUGCCUUUGAUACUGGGUGUCUUGAGUGUGAGAGAGGUGAGUGGAACUCCGAGUGUAGAGGUGAAAUUCGUAGAUAUUCGGAAGAACACCAGUGGCGAAGGCGACUCACUGGCUCAUUACUGACGCUGAGGCUCGAAAGCGUGGGGAGCAAACAGGAUUAGAUACCCGUGUAGUCC